rnacentral:rRNA from 1 species
GUAGGUGGCAAGCGUUGUCCGGAAUUAUUGGGCGUAAAGCGCGCGCAGGCGGUUCUUUAAGUCUGAUGUGAAAGCCCACGGCUCAACCGUGGAGGGUCAUUGGAAACUGGAGAACUUGAGUACAGAAGAGGAAAGCGGAAUCCCACGUGUAGCGGUGAAAUGCGUAGAGAUGUGGAGGAACACCAGUGGCGAAGGCGGCUUUCUGGUCUGUAACUGACGCUGAGGCGCGAAAGCGUGGGGAGCAAACAGGGAUUAGAUACCCUGGUAGUCCACGCCGUAAACGAUGAGUGCUAAGUGUUAGGGGGUUUCCGCCCCCUUAGUGCUGCAGCUAACGCAUUAAGCACUCCGCCUGGGGAGUACGGCCGCAAGGCUG